rnacentral:lncRNA from 1 species
GAGGCCAAACCUAUUAGAAAAAGAAACAACAUGCAAUAGUAGCACAAAGUUCAGUAGAUAGCAAACAUUCGAAUCAUGAUAGUAAAGUAGGACAACUCAAGUUGAAUCAAUAGUGAAGAAAAAUAGAGUAUCAGAAGCAUGCAAAGGUCUUACAAUAACAGAUGAGAAACCUUUUGAAAAGUUAAGAAUUCCAGCAUAGUCG